GGUAAGCUAUCUUUCUUCCCAUUUCAAGAGCAUGUUGGAAAUAGGCUGUUUAACAUAGUGCAUAGUAAAAGAAAGUUUGAUAAGUAUUUUAGAUAAGAAUGUAAUUUUUGGUUGUUGGCAACACUAUCAGAUUUUGUCCCUUUGUUUAAUUUUUUUCCUUUCCAGCAGACAUAGCAUUUGUAAAAUUAGUAAAUGAGAGUUGCUUCUAGGUUCAUUGAAAUCAACCAAGUUUAAGGAAACCAGUUAAGAGAGGAAUACUAUGUAGAGGCUGGUAAACAUAGACAAUUCUUGUAGCACAAGAUCUUUAUAGGCAUGAAUAGAGUAUGAAAAACAGAGUGGUUACAUGAACCUAGUGUUUGGUGGAGGGAUAGAUUCACCAAUCCAGAGGAAGGAGUAUGCAUGCUUUUUUCUCACUCUUUUUUCUUCUCACACUUUAUAAGAAUUCUCAUUAUCUGAACCUCACUGAACCUACAUGGUGAAAGAGCUUGUUGCCCAUGAGGGACUUGAAAGUAAAACUCCCAGGGUUCUCAGAAAAAGCGUUGAUGCAAAGGAGAAUAGAAAGUAGAAAAUGGUAAUUAGCAUAACUUUUUUUUUUUUUUUUUUUUGCUUCAGCUCCCAUUUCUGAGAGGACUCAUCACACCUAAUUUGAGUAAUUUCCUUUUCAAUUUCCUGGGCCAUUUUAUUUUACCUCUGGCUGCCCCUUGGAUGAGUGU
rnacentral:lncRNA from 1 species